rnacentral:rRNA from 1 species
UACGGGAGGCAGCAGUGGGGAAUUUUGGACAAUGGGCGAAAGCCUGAUCCAGCAAUGCCGCGUGCAGGAUGAAGGCCUUCGGGUUGUAAACUGCUUUUGUACGGAACGAAAAGCCUUGGGUUAAUACCCUGGGGUCAUGACGGUACCGUAAGAAUAAGCACCGGCUAACUACGUGCCAGCAGCCGCGGUAAUACGUAGGGUGCAAGCGUUAAUCGGAAUUACUGGGCGUAAAGCGUGCGCAGGCGGUUUUGUAAGACAGAGGUGAAAUCCCCGGGCUCAACCUGGGAACUGCCUUUGUGACUGCAAGGCUAGAGUGCGGCAGAGGGGGAUGGAAUUCCGCGUGUAGCAGUGAAAUGCGUAGAUAUGCGGAGGAACACCGAUGGCGAAGGCAAUCCCCUGGGCCUGCACUGACGCUCAUGCACGAAAGCGUGGGGAGCAAACAGGAUUAGAUACCCUGGUAGUCCACGCCCUAAACGAUGUCAACUGGUUGUUGGGUCUUAACUGACUCAGUAACGAAGCUAACGCGUGAAGUGACCG